rnacentral:rRNA from 1 species
UACAGAGGCCUCGAGCGUUAGGCGGAAUCACUGGGCUUAAAGCGUGUGUAGGCGGAUUGGUAAGUACCUUGUGAAAUCCCACAGCUUAACUGUGGAACUGCUCGGUAUACUGCUGAUCUUGAGCCACUCAGGGGCUACCGGAACAAAUGGUGGAGCGGUGAAAUGCGUAGAUAUCAUUUGGAACGCCAAUGGUGAAAACAGGUAGCUGGGGGUGUGCUGGACGCUGAGACACGAAAGCCAGGGGAGCAAACGGG